GACAGCGAACAAGGAAGGUCACAGUGAAAGUCCUUGGUGGCUCCGAGCCUGUGGACGGGGUGCCGGGGGGGCUUCGGGAUGGACGGAGCUGCAGCACCCAUGGGUGCUGCACCGGAGACCCGCACAGCACAUGGUCCUGGGGGUACGGACUCAGGGAGGUCACGUUGUACCAGUCAGGAGGAGCUGUUGCGGUGGAGCAGAGUCAGCAUCCCCAUGGAGCCCUUCAAAUCCCCUGGGACAGCUUCACUGGGCUUCUUGGCUUUGGGAGAGGAAACCUGGGAGCAGCAGCAGCUUUGGAUCAGAUUUGGGGUCUUUGGGAAAGCAGCGUUUGGGCUUAAAUCCAUGGAAAGAACUUGCCGUUCACUGCAGGGCAGCCCAUGGCCUCGCUUCCCAUCUUUUCCUUUGGGUGCUGAGCAGCAGGAGGAGGAUGCAGGAGAUCCAUGAGGAUGCUCCGAGCUGGGAAAACACACCGGAACACCCCAAAAUUCCCGGGUUUUGGGGGCUCCUUCAACAAUAAAACUGGAUCUGCCUUUGGA